UACGGAGGAUGCGAGCGUUAUCUGGAUUUAUUGGGUUUAAAGGGUGCGUAGGCGGAUCGUUAAGUCAGUGGUCAAAUUGAGGGGCUCAACCCCUUCCCGCCAUUGAAACUGGCGAUCUUGAGUGGAAGAGAAGUAUGCGGAAUGCGUGGUGUAGCGGUGAAAUGCAUAGAUAUCACGCAGAACUCCGAUCGCGAAGGCAGCCUACCGGCGCGCAACUGACGCUCAUGCACGAAAGCGUGGGUAUCGAACAGG
rnacentral:rRNA from 1 species